ensembl:snoRNA
CCUGUCCCUAGCAGUGUUGCAGGUGUGGCUGCUGUGUCACUUGUGCGACUAUAGGUGGCAGAGAGGAUCGGGGCUAAGUCUAUACUCAGUUCAUAUACCUAUGGUCAUCUGCAUGAUUAGUAGCCUAACACU